rnacentral:lncRNA from 1 species
UCGAAUGGUGUGGAGAGUAACUUACAGCCACAAGUUUGAGAGUCUGAUCUCUAUCCAAUUUGAGCCUCACCAAUUGCGAUCUCCGGUUCGAAUUCUCUGCGUCCACGAAAUUCAAAUUCGAAAACCGAAACGCGUUUAACGAGUAACCAAGCACGUCGAUGCCACGCGCCCAGAACGGUUUAUCCCCUUUCCCACUCGGAAUCAGCUCCUCUAUCGCCUUACCUAAUCCCACCGCCGUCUCCGUCGCCGCCACCACGGGACCGUUUCCGAAACCAUCAGCCGCCGUCUCUUUCAUAAACUCUCUCAGAAGCGUAACCGCCGCAGUACGAUCGACCGCCGCCGUGUUCAGCCGAAAUGAUGAUUCUGUGUGGAUCAGCGCAUGGAUCGUCGCUGUCUCGGAUGAUCUGAGCCGUAGAUACGGAAUCGAAGGGAUGGAUUUCGACGUGAGAAUCGGCGGCGGACGUAACGACGAAGGAGAAGGAGUUAGCGGAUGCGUCGAAACGGAUGUUGGAACGGAGAGUGGGGUGGUAAAUCUGGAGUUUGUCGAGGGUAUUUUGGAGAUUUUGGAGUUUUGGUGUUCGGGAAAGUAAGAGAGCUAUGACGGCGAUACCUGUGCCGCCGUCAAUCGCUCUGCACCAGCUGUACUCGGUUCCUCCGACGGGUCGGGUCAUGGAUUUGGGUACCCGAUUUGGCUCACUCAUUAUCCUUGAGAAAGAAGAGAGAUUGUUUUCACUUUUUUGGGAUUUUAAGAUUUUACUUGUAUCAUAUAUUGUCAGGUGGGUAAAUAUGGGGAAGAUACAGUGACGUACCUUUUACUCGGUUAAGUGUAAUUUUUCCGGUUUAUCAACCAAAUAGAAAUGAUUUUGCAUU